rnacentral:snoRNA from 1 species
UUUUAUGAUGACAAAGGGCCAUAGCGCCUGAUCUAAUCCCAGCUCUUCGAGUGCCUCACUAUACAACGCAGAGUGCGCACUGAGAUCAAAAACAUGCUCUGAUUU